rnacentral:rRNA from 1 species
AGCGAACGCUGGCGGCAGGCCUAAUACAUGCAAGUCGAACGGCUCUUCGGAGCAGUGGCGGACGGGUGAGUAACGCGUGGGAAUGUGCCCUUAGGUACGGCACAACACAGGGAAACUUGUGCUAAUACCGUAUGUGCCCUUCGGGGGAAAGAUUUAUCGCCUUUGGAGCAGCCCGCGUUGGAUUAGGUAGUUGGUGAGGGAAAGGCUCACCAAGCCGACGAUCCAUAGCUGGUCUGAGAGGAUGACCAGCCACACUGGGACUGAGACACGGCCCAGACUCCUACGGGAGGCAGCAGUAGGGAAUCUUGCGCAAUGGGCGAAAGCCUGACGCAGCCAUGCCGCGUGUAUGAUGAAGGUCUUAGGAUUGUAAAAUACUUUCACCGGGGAAGAUAAUGACGGUACCCGGAGAAGAAGCCCCGGCUAACUUCGUGCCAGCCGCCGCCGUAA